UAUAUUUUAGUGUUUAUGCAUAAAAAUUUUUGAAGUUUUUGGGAGUUUAAAAUAAACUAAAUAUAA
rnacentral:tRNA from 2 species